AGAACGAACGCUGGCGGCAUGCCUAAUACAUGCAAGUCGAACGAAGGCUUCGGCCUUAGUGGCGCACGGGUGCGUAACGCGUGGGAAUCUGCCCCUUGGUUCGGAAUAACAGUUGGAAACGACUGCUAAUACCGGAUGAUGACGAAAGUCCAAAGAUUUAUCGCCAAGGGAUGAGCCCGCGUAGGAUUAGCUAGUUGGUGAGGUAAAGGCUCACCAAGGCGACGAUCCUUAGCUGGUCUGAGAGGAUGAUCAGCCACACUGGGACUGAGACACGGCCCAGACUCCUACGGGAGGCAGCAGUAGGGAAUAUUGGACAAUGGGCGAAAGCCUGAUCCAGCAAUGCCGCGUGAGUGAUGAAGGCCUUAGGUUGUAAAGCUCUUUUACCCGAGAUGAUAAUGACAGUAUCGGAGAAUAAGCCCCGGCUAACGUCCGUGCCAGCAGCCGC
rnacentral:rRNA from 1 species